UCAUGCUGAGCAGCGCUUGCCUUUUGUGUUUUCACAGGGCCUGUGUGUGGAGAAUGGAUACAGUUUUCCUUUAAGUAUUGUGAGCCACACUGGAGCUGCCGUUGUAUCUGUCACAGAUGAAAAUACUAUAACUAUGUCUCUUUGUAAUCCAUUCAUUGGUUUAUGGACCCCGAAUCCUCAGGAGAGGGUCACAAAUCCACAUAAUGUUCUUACAUGCUGGGUUUUGCAUUUGGAUCUCUGAUUUAGCUGACAGAUGUGCAAAAUCCCAUCUAGCCAGAUAUCUCCCUCCUGACUACACAAUCUGAGGAGAUCAAGAACAUGCGUUAUUCCAGCUCAAGCCUGCCUUGAAUCCAGGCUAAUAACUUUAUCUCCUGAUUCGCUUGCUUUGGAUGGCAUUGGUACUUUUUAAACAGUAUUCUUACUGUUUUGUAGACAGCAUGUAAACAUUUGCCUUGUCCAAAAUGCGAUAUGUAAAUAACUUUUCAGCUAGGUUAAGUAAUGCAGCACAAAUGAAACUCAAUAUGCCAGCCACUCUACUGCAAAAUUUUAAAUACAAACUUUUGCAUUGCUGGUGUGAGAAAUAAAGGAAUUGUCACAGCGGGUGAGCUGUGAGAUCCAUCAAGCCUUGUAUGGCCUGCUUAGAAAUGGCCAAGAGCAGAUGCUCCGGAACAACAUCUAAGAAUCUGCAAGAGACAGAUAUGUGGUGAAGCCUUCUACAGUGCUGUUCUUCUUGGUCAGUUUGCGUUCAGGUCUCUGCCAGUAUUUCAUUUCAGUGGCAAAAUUUAACUGUGGUCCUUCUAAGUGGAGAUGCUUUGUGUGGGAGCCUCCGAGAUGCAGGCGUUGCUCACCUUGGCUGACUCUGCAGUGGGCACAGCUACCCCUGGCAGCUGGGCACCUGGAUGAGGACUUGAUCCUGCAAUGUUACAGCAGUCCAAGUGCCUGAGAUUUGCCUGCAGGGCGAUAUCCCCAGGUUCAUGUAAGCCUUCAAAACUGAACUGAACAGGAGGGGCCUGAUCCAAACCCCUCAGAAACUGAAGAGAAAACAACUUCUACUGCCUUGAGUGAAGCAUUUGUUUUGACUAACUCCAUCUUUUUCCUCCAUCAGCACUCUUCUAUUUUAUGUAUUCUGAAUUCAAGUGGAUCUGAUAAAAUUCUUCACGAAUGUUCUUCCUCUGUGAAUUGACUGUUUCAGAUCUGAGUGAUAUCACUUCUGACUGGCCACAGAAGUCACCUGCUGUUGUUUCUAUUCCAUGAUUGGAUGUACAGAAAUAUUCUUCCAAAGUAAAUAAUGGCAUUUGCUUUGACAUUUGCUUUCUGCAAACGUUUAUGCCAGGAAACCAGAUUGUAUGGCUGAAGCGAAUGAAUAUUUUUAUCUGCAUUAGUCACCCAGA
rnacentral:lncRNA from 1 species